rnacentral:rRNA from 1 species
AUUGAACGCUGGCGGCAUGCCUUACACAUGCAAGUCGAACGGUAACGCGGGGCAACCUGGCGACGAGUGGCGAACGGGUGAGUAAUGCAUCGGAACGUGCCCAGUUGUGGGGGAUAACUGCUCGAAAGAGCAGCUAAUACCGCAUACGACCUGAGGGUGAAAGCGGGGGAUCGGAAGACCUCGCGCAAUUGGAGCGGCCGAUGUCGGAUUAGCCAGUUGGUGGGGUAAAGGCCCACCAAGGCGACGAUCCGUAGCUGGUCUGAGAGGACGACCAGCCACACUGGGACUGAGACACGGCCCAGACUCCUACGGGAGGCAGCAGUGGGGAAUUUUGGACAAUGGACGCAAGUCUGAUCCAGCCAUGCCGCGUGCGGGAAGAAGGCCUUCGGGUUGUAAACCGCUUUUGUCAGGGAAGAAAUCUUCUGGGUUAAUACCUCGGGAGGAUGACGGUACCUGAAGAAUAAGCACCGGCUAACUACGUGCCAGCCGCCGCGGUAUAC